rnacentral:rRNA from 1 species
AGAGGAGGGACAUUACCGAGUUUACAACUCCCAAACCCCUGUGAACAUACCACUUGUUGCCUCGGCGGAUCAGCCCGCUCCCGGUAAAACGGGACGGCCCGCCAGAGGACCCCUAAACUCUGUUUCUAUAUGUAACUUCUGAGUAAAACCAUAAAUAAAUCAAAACUUUCAACAACGGAUCUCUUGGUUCUGGCAUCGAUGAAGAACGCAGCAAAAUGCGAUAAGUAAUGUGAAUUGCAGAAUUCAGUGAAUCAUCGAAUCUUUGAACGCACAUUGCGCCCGCCAGUAUUCUGGCGGGCAUGCCUGUUCGAGCGUCAUUUCAACCCUCAAGCACAGCUUGGUGUUGGGACUCGCGUUAAUUCGCGUUCCUCAAAUUGAUUGGCGGUCACGUCGAGCUUCCAUAGCGUAGUAGUAAAACCCUCGUUACUGGUAAUCGUCGCGGCCACGCCGUUAAACCCCAACUUCUGAAUGUUGACCUCGGAUCAGGUAGGAAUACCCGCUGAACUUAAGAAUAUCAAUAA